GAGAGAGUUUAUGGUUGUCUGUCGUUACGUUAUUAAUGAAUGUGAGAUAAAUAUGGGGAAUACAUAGACUGACGCCUCGCUGUGUAUCAUUGGGAGACGCUACAAUACUUUUAAGUCAAGUCCUACGAUGCCGCCCAAACAAGUUAACGUGCUGGCUGGCUGGCAGUUAGCGGCGGAGGAAGAUGCUAGCAAGUAGCAGCUAGCUCGCAGUAAAGAUGGAACUUCUCGACCACUUGAAGGAAAGCCACAAAGGCACAAGUACAACUGGCAUCAACAUUAAUGCUGCUUUGCUUGAGCUUGAAGACUACCUCGCACACAGAAGAAGUCACUGCAUCCAUUCAGUCUGCUUGUG